rnacentral:rRNA from 1 species
UGCUUGGAUGGGGGCACCCUGAGCAGCAACUGCCCGCCGUUGAGUUGAGGAAGGUCCUCGGAUUGUAAAACUCUUUUCUUAGGGAAAAAUGGAUUAGUGGUUAAUACCCAUUACUAGUGAUGGUACCUAAGGGAUAAGCACCGGCUAACUUCGUGCCAGCAGCCGCGGUAAUACGAAGGGUGCAAGCGUUGUUCGGAAUUAUUGGGCGUAAAGCGCGCGCAGGCGGAUUAAUAAGUCAGGUGUGAAAUCUCAAACCUCAACUUCGAAACUGCGCCUGAAACUAUUAGUCUAGAGUGUCGGAGGGGGUAGGGGAAUUUCACGUGUAGGGGUAAAAUCCGUAAAGAUGUGAAGGAACACCGGACGCGAUGGCGCCUACCUGGACGACUACUGACGCUGAGGCGCGAAA